rnacentral:rRNA from 1 species
UACAGAGGGGGCAAGCGUUGUUUGGAAUUACUGGGCGUAAAGGGCGCGUAGGCGGCCUGCUAAGUCGAACGUGAAAUCCCCGGGCUUAACCCGGGAACUGCGUCCGAUACUGGUGGGCUUGAAUCCGGGAGAGGGAUGUGGAAUUCCAGGUGUAGCGGUGAAAUGCGUAGAUAUCUGGAGGAACACCGGUGGCGAAGGCGGCAUCCUGGACCGGUAUUGACGCUGAGGCGCGAAAGCUAGGGGAGCAAACGGG